AGUUUUGUGAUUUUUNUACAAAAUAAUUUCUGCCCAGUGAAAUUUUUUUUAACGGCCGCAGUACACUGACUGUGCUAAGGUAGCAUAAUCAAUUGACUUUUAAUUAAGGUCUAGAAUGAAAGGGAAAAUGAUUGAAAGCUGUCUUAAAAGUUUUAAUUUUAAUUUACUAAAAAGGUGAAAAUACCUUUUUUUUGAAAAAAGACGAGAAGACCCUUAGAAUUUUUAUUAGAAAAAUUUUUUUUAUUUUGUUUUUUUGUUGGGGCGACAGAAUAGAAAAAAAACCUGUUUUUUUAACAUAACGAUUUUUUAUAUAGGAAAAAUUACCUUAGGGAUAACAGCAUAAUUUAAAUUUAAGAUUGUGACCUCGAUGUUGGACUAGGUACUUAAAAAUUAAUAAUUUCAAUAGUUAGUUCUGUUCGAACUUUUUUUAACCU
rnacentral:rRNA from 1 species